UCUCGCGCAAACUAUUCAGUUUAGAAAAAAAAUAUAUUAGAAACCUCAAUAUCAUUUUUAAAGACCUAUCCAUAGAUACCCCACACGUAUGGGUUUGAUGAAAAAAAAAAAAUCGGGUUUCGGUUCUAUAUAUGGGGAACCCCCAAAAUUUAUUGUUUUUUUUUCUAUUUUUGUGUGAAAAUCUUAAUGCGGUUCACAGAAUACAUCUACUUACGAAGUUUCAACAGUAUAGUUCUUAUAGUUUCG